UGUGUGUGUGGUGUGUGUGUGGUGUGUGUGUGUGUGUGUGUGGUAUGUGUGUGGUGUGUGUGUGAUUGUGUGAUUACUUACUAUUAGGAUAGCAUUCCUCUCCGGAAGCUAAUAGUUUUAACUUCUGAAUUUCCAAAUUUCCCUACAGUAAACAUACCGGUUUUAUGUUCAACAAAAUGUGAUUUUGACUUCUUAAGGACUGUGUGGAGAGGGACUGUGGUAGAUGGACUGAGUUCUCAGCCCCUCACUAUUAAGAAAGCAGUCCCCCCUCCCCACUUCACACUUAAUCAUAAGCCUCUCCGACUUCCUAUCAUUGUCUUUCUUGGGUAUUUUUGAGCUGAAUGAAAGCUUGCUAGCAUGUCUACAUCGUAUGCACACCUCCAGCUUGCACCUACAACCAUGGCGAGUCCAUGUGACUUCUAAGUGCAGAGCUGGAGGAUGGGCCACUAGGCAGGCAUGGCAAACAGGCGGCAGGGAGUCCCUGCAGACAAAGUCCUGUGUCCUGGAAAGGAACUCCCCAGACACUGCUGUGCAUCACACGACCGCAGCAAAGUGGGAAGGGAAAGAAUGCUGACUGGGUUUGUGUUUGGGCCUCAGAGACCCUUGGCUGCUGGGGUGCUGGCUACAGGCAGAACAGUGGCCACAGGGAAGGAGUCUGUGGCUACUCUCCCCACCUCUGCAAUGCCCUUGCCUCCUGCAGACAGGGGCACUUUUAAAGCUCGGCUCAUUUCAGCUCUAAGCAGGAUGUAUCUCUGGCCUGGAGAGAGCCCAGAUUAUAUAGUUAAUGGAACGUCAUGUUUUCUCAACCAGGAGCAAAGACCGUAUAAUGAUAACCUAGAACGCCACAGUAACACAAUAGGGCGUUAUUAAGAGCUCUGGCAACUGGGCCGCACAGGGCUCUACACUGAUGGAAUUUCAUGUUUAUAUAAACAUGCUUUUCUGGUUAGAGUUGGGAAGAGUAGUUUGCUGGGAAUUCAAUCAGGGAUUUGAAAAGUCAGCCUUGGAAGGCCCCAUCUAGAGAAGAACAGCGGAGUCUCUCUUGAGUCUACUGUGAAUCUCCAGGACCCACCAUGGACAUGGAUACACUGUUCUUUCCUGGCAGGGUCCUUUUCAUGCCACGUAUUAAUUUUCUUUAUAUAGAAGGAGAUGGAGAAUUUUCCAACUCCGGUCUCAGGGAAGUGCUGGCCAUGAUACAUGUGCCAUGAAGACUUCAACAGCAGAACACUGAGAGAGACCACGGGGUGAAGGGUGGGGGCUACAGGGCAAGACUUACUUUUUGUUCAGCCAGUGUCUCUAUCUCUUUUCCCCCAAACAAAGGAAGCUCGCUUUCUCAAGCGUCCAUUGGGCAUUCCAAGGUGGUACUCAUCUGCAGGGCUGUGAGGGAGUGUGGCACCCCAGGGACAUGGACACAUGAGUAAUGGAUGCAGAGUGAUGCUUGUCAUCCUACACUGGAACUUCACUAGGUAGAGCAUUGUUUUCCUGGAAGAGACCUGGAUUUCUAACAGCUAACUUACACAGGAAAUUUUGAGAGUAUGAAGUUCAGUGAGCUUCUCAGACCCACAUGCUUUCACAAGGGACAGAGGAGCACUGUCUGGAGUGGUAGACAGGUUGAUCCCUAGUCUGUAGAUGGUAGGAAGUUUUGUUCACUAUCCCCCUGAGUUAGAACUGCCCAGAAUCACAACUAGAUCCUGGCAGAGCAACAGAGCAGGACUUUCCUGCUCGCGACUCCCAGCCUGGUCCCUUCUGCUCAUCUCUACCCAGCACCAUUGGGCUGUAAUAGGAAGCACACAACAGUGCAGCCAGUGAGAUCCAGUGGGUUCCAGGUGCAGCCAGUGAGAUCCAGUGGGUUCCAGGAAUUGAAAAUCCUUGCACCAGAGUUUCAGUAAAUCAUGGAACCCAAGCAGUUAAGACUGCUUAAUUUACGGAGCAGCUGCUAGACCACCGUUCAUCAGUUGCUGCUGGUAGGGAAUUCUUCACGCUCCUGCCAACACCCCUUCCCACCUCCCAGAGACCUGGGGCUGGUGAUUCACACUCUGGGGUGUGAUCUGUAUUCUGCACUUAAAGGUCCAAUGAGUUAGUAGCUUGUUCAGAUUGAAUUUGACAGAAAAGAGAAAUUUAAGCUUGCAGAUGUGUCAAGGCACACAGAUGUAGCUUGCUUUCUGAAAUGCCUUGGAAGGUCCUUUAGAGGAAGGAGAAUGUAAAGCAAGUGCCAAGAGAGGGGAGCAGGGUGCACUAGAGCAUACCUUGGACAAGCGAGACAGUAACCUUAAAAGACACCAGGAUGGACUUCUCUGCAGGGCCAGGAUGUCACUUUGUUCAAAUGUUCCAGCAGUUUGGUUCCAGGUUUGAAGAGGGCCUAUCAGUUGGUAAGACUGCCUGCAAAUAGGAAGGCUCAGUGUGUAGACGAAAACUAAGAACAAUGAAAGCGUUUGUUUUGUGUUUCUGUCUGGGUGAAUACUUUAUCUCUACUAUUCUUAACUCUGGAGACCUGGGAAAGCUCAGAGUUACGCUGAGAAUAGAGUCCAGGGGGCUGGAAGAAGGCAUCUGACCUAUAAUUAUAACCUAUAAUCAUCUCCUAGCAUGCUAGGGACAAACUCUGGCAUCCCUUGGACGACAGUGCUGACACACAAAUGCAGAUUAGACUUGCUUUAUGUGUUAUGCUAACAUAAAUGGGUUUUGGGUGUCAGAACAAGAGACCAGACUUAGUCACUUGUACUAAUUGAAUUAUUCCAUAACUCAAGAAAAAGAGGAUAUUUGGACAUUUUGACAUGUUUUUUAGACAUGCCAGGUUCUCAUUGAAAAAGUCAUUCGACUUCUUCCAUUACACUUGGCUUAUUCUUUUCAUGUACUUGGCAUAGAUAUGUUCGCAAUAGCGAUCAAAGUGAUUGAAGCUCUUGGCUCAGCAAUGAAAGUCCGGAUAGCACAGAGCCUACAGCAUGCCACGUCCUGUCUCGGGAGGUGCAAAGAAGGCUGAAGCCGGAAGCUGUCUGGACCGGUGGCCUUUUAGGCAGAGGACAUUAGAAGGACUCUGGGAUUCAAAAGCUGAGGGCUCCAGUGUGGAUUUGGGGCAGGGCGGGAAAAGUCAAGUUUAGAACAGCAGGGAGAAUAACAAGUGGCAGUCACAGCCUGGCUCCCUGCCAGGCUCUGUGGCAUCAAUGGUGCCUGUACAUUUAGCCCUUGCAGUCCCUGUAACAUCUGAACAGUCACCGUCGCCACUUCACUGGUGACGAAACUGAAGUGGAGGCCGAGACUACUUUAAGUGGUAAAGCCGACCCCAAACCCAUUAUUUCCUCGAAAGGUGCAAAGAUUGAGAAGUCAAAAGAUCAUGAAAUCAGUCAGGAGACAAGCUAGGUUAUGCUGUGGUAAUGAGUAACCUUCGAGUCCUAGUCACGGGUUACACUCAGGGCUGUCCUGGACAGCUGCAGAGGAAACCAAUGUUGGAGGAGGGAAGUGACGCAAAUCCUCCCACUCACAGCCCACUGGUCCAAACUGGCCAUGUGUCCUCACCUUGUGGAAAGGGACUGAAGGAAUGUACACUAGGGGGAAGAAAUGCCAGAUACGUGUGGGCAUUCGCAGCCUCUACUGCAAGCAUAAUUACAUAGUCUGCAGGCCUGCGUAAGCAAGAAUAGCAGCUACAGUGGGACACAGAGCCAACACGUCUGGAGGGGGUCAGUUUGGAGCUGGAUCUAGGGCAUAUUAAUCAAUCAGAAGUUACUACUGGCAUAGCACUUCAGAUCUUCCUGGGAGGUGGUGAUGCCCUUCCAUUCUUCCCUUCUCCCAUCCCCCAUACUUAAGAGAAAACCUUUAAUGCCAUGGGUAUUAAGAACAUUAAAUCAGUCAGGGCAGGCUAUCCAGUGUUUGCUGUGGUGAUGAGCAGUCUGCAAACAUCAGUGACAGGCUACACCAUGAUUACAUGAACAGGGAGUGAGAUGCCAGAUGUGGUUCUCUGCCACCUAAGUGCUCCAUGAGUAUAUGGGAAGGACAAGAACUCCUCUGUAUGUAGUUGGUGGAAUCUAAGGGGAUUUGACAGGAUGGACAGCCAGUGAAGUCGUCCUCCACUGAGGCAACAGUGUUAAGAGUUCCUACACAGAGGAACUCUUCUGUCCCAAUUCAGAGCGUGACUUUGGAGUGUCUGGCUCCCACCCGUGUGUCUUGAUGGAGAUGCAAUUUGGUGAGAUAGUCUUUCAUUAUGAAGGAAUGAGGGUAUUAAAUAUCAUUAAUUAAUUGUUAAUUUCAUGAUUCUCUUCCUGAUCAUUGUGAUAACCAAAAAUUAAUAGAUUGCCUCUACACUGAUUUUCAAGAGCCACCAAGCAGAGGCUCCACUUUGUGAAGAAUCCUUGCUAAAGGUUGAAAAGCAAAGCAACACACACCAAGCUUGCUGCCUUUGAGGCUGGAGAGCCUCGUGGUUAGGAAUACUUGGCGCUCUUGCAGAGGAGCUGGGUUUGACUCCCAGCACCCACAUGGUGGCUCACAGUCGUCUGUAACCCCACUCCUAAGAAUUCUGGUGCUCUUUCCUGGCCUCUGCAGGCACUACACAGGGGGCACAAGACAGCUAUUCAGAAAACCUACCCCCUGCCCCCAACCAAACUAAUUAAUGAAUUUAAAUAAUUUUUAAAAGCUUGUUGAUUCCUAGCAUGAAAGGAUUCAUCUGAGCAGGAGAAGCAGUGGUCAGGAGGAAGUGGACCAGUGAGAAGGGAGUGUGCUAAGGCCCUGGGUCCCACCCACCCUGGGUCCAGGCUCACUGGGGAACACUCCGGAGAUGAUUGUGGUGUGAGUCCUUCACUCUCACAGUAAGUGUGAGGCUGAGCAGAAAGACAAGAACAGCUGGCACUCAGCUCAGUGGACAGUGGCCUUCCUCCUUGCUGGAGAACAAAUGGAAGCCAAGGCAACACACCCUUCCUAACUGAACUCCAGGGAGAAUUCUUGCUCGGAUGAGAGAGGCCAAUGUGAUGUGGAGGAGCAGAGCUGGUGUAGCAGCAAGGCCAUUUCUUGCCCAUCAGUGUUGACAAAUCUUAUGUUGUGCACACACAGACCAGCCAUGAUGCUCACUACCUUGGCUCCUUUCCCAUCAAGACUCCAGAAGGAACCAUGUGUGCUUCGUGCAGGAUAGGGGAAAACCAAGCCUCACUCAUAGGGGUUAUGAAGGCCAAUGUAGAAUCAGAAAACUCCAGUUUCAAACUCAAUGUUUGACCAAACAUUAUGAGCUUGGGAUAUUAAAUCAGUUAAUCUCUCUGAAGCUUGGUUUGCUCUCUUAAUAAAAUGGGCAUUAAAAUUUAUUCUCACAGAAAUGUUCUAAAGAUUAAAAUCUUUCACCAGCAUUUGGCAAAUGCAUACCAGAUGAUGAGUGAUAAAGAUGGAGGUGCUGAUGUUGCUGGUGAUAAGGAUGAUGGUGGUGAUAUGGAGAUAUGAGAGAUAGUGGUGAGAGAGUUGAAAGUGGUGGAGUGAUGGUGGUGAUGAUAAUGACAGGAAUGGUGAUAGUAGUAGUGACAGUUCAUAACAAAGGCUGUGGUUACAGAGUUGGUGAUAAUGAUAAUGGGAUGAUUGUCGUAGUGGCUGAUGGUGACAGGGAUGAUCAUAAUGGUGCUGGUGAAAGAGAUGAUGGCAGUCAUGAUGCUGGCAGUGAUGGGGUGAUAAUGGUCAUGGUGGACAACAGUGAUGAUGACAUCAGUGGUCAUGGUGCUGUUGGUGACAACUAACCCAAGAGAAAUGCUGUGGUCCUCUAACAAGUGAUUCCUCCCUAUCUUCCAAGCAAUGAGAUCAUCUGGCCAGGAUAAGGGGCAUAUCAUAUCUGUUUAUUUUUCUUCCUCUUCCCCCUUCCUCCACUUUUUCCUCUUUUCCUCUCCCAUUCUCUCUCUCUCUCUCUCUCUCUCUCUCUCUCUCUCUCUCUGUGUGUGUGUGUGUGUGUGUGUGUUGUGACAGGAACUCAUGUAACCCAAGCUGGCACUUCAACUCCUGGCACUCCAACUUCUGUGAAGUGCUAGGGGUCCUGGGGUUCACAGGCAUGUGCCAUCUCUCCUGGCUCAGGGGUGCGUCAUUUCAAUUCAGUAUUUAUGAAACUAUGCUAAGCCUUAGGAAUUGUAGAGCCCAAGAUAUGUCCUGUUCUCAGGGAGCUCAGGUUUCCAUGGAGCAGACAACACAAGAGAGACUGCUAGUGGAAUCGUGUGGUUGAUAGGAGAGGGGCUUUCACUUUGGACCAGGAAUAUGGCAAUUGAGCGAGAUCUUGUCAGACGUUCAAAAAAGCAAUGUACAAGAAAGCCAAGUGGCACAUACUCUACCCUUUGGGUGUGACAGGGAAAGGCCUUAGAAAGAAUUUGCAUUCUAUCCCUCCUGCAGUAACUUUGGAGAUUAGUGAUUAAUUUCUUUUUUUUUUAAGAUUGGGAGUUUCUGAGAACAUGGCAGCCAGUGUAUGUCUCUAUUGGAUAUAUAUAUCGAUUGCCUGUUUUUGUAGAGACAAAAGAAUAAGGGAAACUGAAAACUUUUUGUUUUGAGGAGCAAGACUUGAGUAGUUGGCAGGCUGUGUGUGAAGAAGCAAGUUUCAGAAAGCAAGAGAAUCUUGUCAUGGACGGACGGGGAGAGUCUGAACAUGUAGGGCAUUUGGGUGGAGACGCUGAGCAGGCGGCUUCCCUGGAGCCUUAGGGCUGAAAAUAAAGCUUUGAAUAUUGUUAGCCCAAGGGCAGCUAUUGAUGUGGGUGCAGAUAAUAGUUAAUAUAAAGACUAAAGAUACUAAUAUAAAGACUUAAGAUGUCAGGAAGAGGUGGAGUUUGAAGAAGAAGAUGGCCAAGGUCCAAUCCAGAGGGACUGUCAAUAGUUGUCUAGGAAAAGAAGAAAUGGUACUCAUAUUCGUCUGGGCAUGGCAGGGCAGUGGGGAGAGGGGCGGUACAAGGCUGUAUCACUGGGAAGCAGAGGGGUGAGUCAGGUGAAGGGUGAUCAUCUGGGACAUUUGCCUCGAAACUCAUCUCUUCCUGUGCCUUUGGUAUCAGAGGGUGAUGUGUCUCAUAAGCCAGGUCUGCCCAUUCUCCACAUGGCCAUCACCUUAGCUCAGGUCUCCACCAUUUUUACCAGUAGAAUGAAAUCUUGCCCAAAUUGACCUCUUUUUGUACCUCAUCUAACCUGUCUCUUGGAACUCUAGCACUAAGUCAAUCUGUUUGUUGGUUGGUUGGUUGGUUGGUUAGUUGGUUGGUUUGGUUUGGUUUGGUUUGGUUUGGUUUGGGUUUUGUUUUUUGACACACAUCUAAUCUUGACACUGACUUCCCUAAGCCCCACCUCUCAGACACACUCUGAACAGAGUAAAGCUCUCUCAUGACCAAGUGUGAAUGCUUUGGUAAAAUACCAGGGACUUUUACUGCCGUAGUCACCAUGUAGUCCCCAGGUUCCAUUUCUUACCACAUCCUAUACCUUUUAACCUUACAAUGAAAUGGCUGUGGGUUCCACAGCUAAGUCACACCCUUCAGCUGCGGAGCGGUUAUCCACUCUAUCUCCACCUAAGUCAUGCCCACUUAUCUUAAGGCAUUAGCUGUGGGCUUCAUAUACACUCCCCCAAAUAAUUAAGAACCUCCACCCCUCUGCAUUGCAUCUUGACUUAAAAAUCUUUCUCUUGUUUAGAGUCUCUCAAGCCCAAACAAAUCCUGCCCUCUGACAGCAGCGGUGUGGUCCAGAACAUAUAUGGAAAGGAAGCAUGCUUAGUGUUUGUCAGGAAACCUCUCUACCCACACUUUAUCUUUUCCAUUGCCCUCCAGUGCUCAUUGGCGGACAACCCCACUAGAGUACAAAGGGCCUCCAGGGAUGGCAAAGUUUAUGAGCAGCAUCUUGAUCCAUCUGCUGUCACCCCUCCCAUAAAAACAAGUACAUCUUCACAGAUGACGCUGGAAAGCAGUUAAGAAGAGAGUGUGCCAAUCCCAGUUGGAGCCAUAGCACUCCAGCAGUCAAACAACAAACAGGGCAAAGUGAGAUACAUCACUGAGCACUUGUGGGAUGCUAGGGAUCCUUGUUACCAAGGUGACCAAACAUCCUGGCUUGCCCAGGAGAGGCCUGGUGUGGUUUUUGCUGUCCUAGUAUAAUUAAUAGCUUCCUCUUUGUCUCUCAAAACUGGCUCCAUUUGGCUUUUCAAUUUUAGGGUGAUUGUGAUUGUUAACUGUCAUCAAAGAGAGAACAGAUUAAAGACAAACUGUAACUGAUCUUCUACCUUCUGUUCUGUUAAAGUGGGCAACAGUCAGCCCUUUAAAUGACCCAAUUUUAAGCCUUACCCAGGAGCCCCACUCCAUUAUUUCCAUAUCAAUAUAUGGAAAUUCUGCUAUCCUCAACUGUGUUAAGUUCCUCACCAUGAACUGCAAUUGUCCAUUUCCUAACCCCACCAUGGGGAGGCAGUAUUGCAUAGCCAUCAUGAGCAUGGGGUUAAAUGCUAAGGUCUUAGGGUUUGGAGCAAAAUCAUGGUCCAGGAAAUGUACAGAUCACUGAGUAGGGCAGAGAUAGCGGAGCUGGCCACACUCAGAGUGCUAACUUUAAUGGCAGUGAAUCCCAAGCACAGCGCCUGCUGCUUAGUAAAUACUCAGUACAGGAGGAAUCUUAGUUAUUAGCCUGUCAAUUCCAAAAAGCAGACCAGGUAUGUGUGGCUGACUGACUGACUGAAUGAUAUUUUGUAAAGAAGCUCGAGAAGAUGAAGACAGAGAAGAUGUUUAAAAAGAAACAAAGGCAUCAAGGCCGGGAGAAGAUCCAGCGGUGCUCAUUGUCCAGCCUGACAGCCUAACAUUAAGAAUGAUUUUGUUCCUUGGGACUCGUGGUAGGGUAGAACCAGCUCCUGCAAGCUGUCUGCUGAUCUCCACUCUUGCACUGUGGCACAUGUGUGCUCCCUCAGAGAAGCAAAUGUAAUACUUUAAAAAAAAA